CUUAUCAAAUUGAGUUACCAUACUGACAAGUUUUAAAGAGGAUUACUGAUGGUAAUUCAUGUGCUUUUGCUUAAAAAAAAAAAAAAAAAAAAAUUAAGUCAGUGCUUAAAAAAAUGGAGAGUUGAUGUUUCCAGCUCAUCCCAGACAGAGGUGGCAAACCCUGUGUGACCUUCAGCAAACUGUCUGCUGCCCAGCCCUGGACCUACCAUGCUCCUUACCAAGUCUUCACGAAUGUGAAAUAUAAAAGGCAAAUUCCCUUUAUACAGAAACUGGGAAGAAAUAUGUUGGGAAUUUAAAGAAGCUUCCAAAAGGAUCACAAUAGCCAUUAUUACAGGGAAACAGCAAAACAGAUGAAACCUGAACUCAGAUAAAUUAGAUCAUGUUGUGAAAAGAAACGCUGAAAUUCCACAAGUAGCACAGGCUUUUCUUGCUGUUUGUAUCUUUCCUUGCGUAUGAUGAAAUUGGCUUUUUGGAACAGUGCAGCAUAUGAGCUCUCUUGUGCGGCUGUCUGAUCUGCAACAAGAAGGCUGCACAGAAAAAAAGCCUCAGUCACAAGUGGGGAGAGCCUGAUGGAAAGUAGGAGACAAGAGGGGAGAGCUGAGCAGCAAAAGGAUGAUACAGAAGGGAGGGAAAGACGUGAACUUGUCUGCAGGCAGCUCUCAAAUCCAGCAAGUUUGCCCUCAGAUCCCACUCCCACGUGCUGGGAGAAAUCCGCUUGGAAAGACAGAGGCAACAGUUCUGCUAGAGCCCACACACCACAAUCCAUCUAAAUGAAACAGGGCUGGAUAAAGAGAAAAUGCCAAUAGCUUCCCUUGUGUUCCUGCUAUUCAGAGAGCCACGUGCAGGCAGGCAAGGGGGGCGGCCUCUUUCAGGGUGUGACGGCUAGGUGAAAUGCUGGCCACACUGGAACCAACAGCAGAACUCUUGGCUGCUUUUCUGGGAUUAAGUUUUCUCACCACUCAACCCAAAACAUCAACAAAUACCAACACUCAAAGAUCUGCGUAGUGCUGAAGAACUCUUUUUGAGUAAAACUAUUUUGUUCACAGACACAUGAGCUGUAAAAAGCUGAGUUAGAUUGCUGCUAACAAAGUUACUUUUAUCUGCAGGUUUCUGUAAGGUCACCAGCUAGAGCAAGGCAAUACAACCAGUUUGUUCUUUGAAAUGUUUUAAGAGUUAGCGCUCAUGACUCUGGAAAACUGUUCCACACCUCAGUGCUCUGUAUGGUUCAGAAGCUUUCUGCCUUUCUGCCAAUUAGUUCAGGGCCAAUUUUCACCCAGUUUUAUUGUGCCGGUGUUCCUGUUAUCCUCAUGAUGUAGUCACACCAUGCAGGUGUUUGUUUUUCAGCUGUUGAAGCCUAGCAGAAGUUGUUGCUGUUAUUACUAUAGGUGAUGUACUUCUAAUGAAGGUCCUUGUUUAUUCUGGUGGUGAUGAAACAAACCAGGGCUGAAGACCUUGAGGAGACUUCAUUCACUCCGGUCUCGUGUUAUGCUGGUUACGUGACUAUGGUGCAGCUCCCCCACCACCCGUAGCACGAACGUGAGCCUGAAUUCGCCAGCUGGCCACUCAGCCGUGAAACUGCUCUGUACAACCCAGGGCUGAGCAAAGCCUCCUUAACACGAUAACCUCGGGAGGAGGAGAUUCUUGCAAGCCCUCUCUAGCAGGUCAGAGGUAAAGCAAUCCCAGCUCCUGGCCUACAGGAGGCUGGCGGGCAAUUUUCUUCAUGUCAGCAUUGCUCAUUGUACCGAGGGAAGAAAGGGAACGUGCCGCCCUCCUCCGCCAAGCUGCGAUUAGCAGAGGCACAAAGCAGCUCUGACCAGGCUGGCAUUGUGUCUCCUUGACCCAGGAGAACGGAGACAGCCUGGCACACCUCCUGGGACCUGCUGCUGCACGAACCCUGCCUCUGAUUGCUCUCAAGUGGAAGCUUCAGAAGGACAGCGUGGUAGCCAAGUCGCUUGCCCAAACAGCUCAGGAUACCUUGUGACACUCUUACUCUCUUUGAGGUUUGCUCGAAUGUGAUGCACGAGCUGCUCUGUCAUCAGCUCAUCUAGAGACAAGAUGGCAGGCAAUUCCUGACUUGCUACACCCAGGCGCUCUCAGUGAACCUAUUUCAUCACAUGUGCUCAAGAAGUGUUCUGACCUCUUGAAUGAAGUGCUUCAGGCUUACCUGCUGGCACCAAGGCAUUUUUCCUGAUGCCCUUGUUGGCAGUUGAGGCAAAAGACACCACCAUGAACUAAGGAGGGACAGCUCACGCAGCUACAUGUUUACAAGCCAGUUUGUGAAGUCUCUGAGAAGCGCACGCCCCCGAUACCUGCUGCAGCCCAGCAGCAGUACCCACGCGUCCAGCUGAGCCCGUGUCUGGCAGCGCAGGACGUGAACGCAAUGCUUACACAGCCUCUGCCCAGCAGAACAAAGGCAUCUCUGUGAUUUUUACAGGCCCAACAGUUUGCUACUGCUAGACUAGAGGAUGCUGAAGGGAUUGAUUUGUCACUACUAGGACGCGUGGGGAAGAAAUAUUAACUACACAUUCAGGCUCUGUACUUAAUUUCAACACAUCCAUCUAAUUUAAGAGACUCCAUCUAGUUUAAGAGACUUCAUCUAAUCAUAUCCCUUUGACACCAGACGUUAACAGCUCCCUACAUUAAGGCAUGACUAAGGGUGUUUUCUUUAAAUCAAUUUA